GUUAGUGGCGGACGGGUGAGUAACACGUGGGAACGUGCCUUUAGGUUCGGAAUAACUCAGGGAAACUUGUGCUAAUACCGAAUGUGCCCUUCGGGGGAAAGAUUUAUCGCCUUUAGAGCGGCCCGCGUCUGAUUAGCUAGUUGGUGAGGUAAUGGCUCACCAAGGCGACGAUCAGUAGCUGGUCUGAGAGGAUGAUCAGCCACAUUGGGACUGAGACACGGCCCAAACUCCUACGGGAGGCAGCAGUGGGGAAUCUUGCGCAAUGGGCGAAAGCCUGACGCAGCCAUGCCGCGUGAAUGAUGAAGGUCUUAGGAUUGUAAAAUUCUUUCACCGGGGACGAUAAUGACGGUACCCGGAGAAGAAGCCCCGGCUAACUUCGUGCCAGCAGCCGCGGUAAUACGAAGGGGGCUAGCGUUGCUCGGAAUUACUGGGCGUAAAGGGAGCGUAGGCGGACAUUUAAGUCAGGGGUGAAAUCCCGGGGCUCAACCUCGGAAUUGCCUUUGAUACUGGGUGUCUUGAGUAUGAGAGAGGUGUGUGGAACUCCGAGUGUAGAGGUGAAAUUCGUAGAUAUUCGGAAGAACACCAGUGGCGAAGGCGACACACUGGCUCAUUACUGACGCUGAGGCUCGAAAGCGUGGGGAGCAAACAGGAUUAGAUACCCUGGUAGUCCACGCCGUAAACGAUGAUUGCUAGUUGUCGG
rnacentral:rRNA from 1 species